rnacentral:rRNA from 1 species
GACGAACGCUGGCGGCGUGCCUAAUACAUGCAAGUAGAACGCUGAAGAGAGGAGCUUGCUCUUCUUGGAUGAGUUGCGAACGGGUGAGUAACGCGUAGGUAACCUGCCUUGUAGCGGGGGAUAACUAUUGGAAACGAUAGCUAAUACCGCAUAACAAUGGAUGACACAUGUCAUUUAUUUGAAAGGGGCAAUUGCUCCACUACAAGAUGGACCUGCGUUGUAUUAGCUAGUAGGUGAGGUAAUGGCUCACCUAGGCGACGAUACAUAGCCGACCUGAGAGGGUGGUCGGCCACACUGGGACUGAGACCCGGCCCAGGCUCCUUCGGGGGGCAGCAGUAGGGGAUCUUCGGCCAUGGGGGCAACCCUGACCGAACAACGCCGCGUGAGUGGAGAAGGUUUUCGGGUCGUUAAGCUCUGUUGUAAGUCAAGAACGGGUGUGAGAGUGGAAAGUUCACACUGUGACGGUAGCUUACCAGAAAGGGACGGCUAACUACGUG